rnacentral:rRNA from 1 species
GACGGACGCUGGCGGCGUGCCUAAUACAUGCAAGUCGAGCGCAGGAAGUCAUCCGAACCCUUCGGGGGGACGUUGACGGAAUGAGCGGCGGACGGGUGAGUAACACGUAAAGAACCUGCCCUCAGGUCUGGGAUAACCACGAGAAAUCGGGGCUAAUACCGGAUGGGUCAUCGGACCGCAUGGUCCGAGGAUGAAAGGCGCUCCGGCGUCGCCUGGGGAUGGCUUUGCGGUGCAUUAGCUAGUUGGUGGGGUAAUGGCCCACCAAGGCGACGAUGCAUAGCCGACCUGAGAGGGUGAUCGGCCACACUGGGACUGAGACACGGCCCAGACUCCUACGGGAGGCAGCAGUAGGGAAUCUUCCACAAUGGACGAAAGUCUGAUGGAGCAACGCCGCGUGAACGAUGAAGGCCCUCGGGUCGUAAAGUUCUGUUGUAAGGGAAGAACAAGUGCCGCAGGCAAUGGCGGCACCUUGACGGUACCUUGCGAGAAAGCCACGGCUAACUACGUG